AAAGGUGAAAAGCACCCCGGAAGGGGAGUGAAAGAGAUCCUGAAACCGUGUGCCUACAAAUAGUCAGAGCCCGUUAAUGGGUGAUGGCGUGCCUUUUGUAGAAUGAACCGGCGAGUUACGAUCCCGUGCGAGGUUAAGCUGAAGAGGCGGAGCCGCAGCGAAAGCGAGUCUGAAUAGGGCGUUUAGUACGUGGUCGUAGACCCGAAACCAGGUGAUCUACCCAUGUCCAGGGUGAAGUUCAGGUAACACUGAAUGGAGGCCCGAACCCACGCACGUUGAAAAGUGCGGGGAUGAGGUGUGGGUAGCGGAGAAAUUCCAAUCGAACCUGGAGAUAGCUGGUUCUCCCCGAAAUAGCUUUAGGGCUAGCCUUAAGUGUAAGAGUCUUGGAGGUAGAGCACUGAUUGGACUAGGGGUCCUCAUCGGAUUACCGAAUUCAGUCAAACUCCGAAUGCCAAUGACUUAUCCUUAGGAGUCAGACUGCGAGUGAUAAGAUCCGUAGUCAAAAGGGAAACAGCCCAGACCGCCAGCUAAGGUCCCAAAGUGUGUAUUAAGUGGAAAAGGAUGUGGAGUUGCUUAGACAACUAGGAUGUUGGCUUAGAAGCAGCCACCAUUUAAAGAGUGCGUAAUAGCUCACUAGUCGAGUGACUCUGCGCCGAAAAUGUACCGGGGCUAAAUACACCACCGAAGCUGCGGAUUGAUACCAAUGGUAUCAGUGGUAGGGGAGCGUUCUAAGGACAGUGAAGUCAGACCGGAAGGACUGGUGGAGUGCUUAGAAGUGAGAAUGCCGGUAUGAGUAGCGAAAGACGGGUGAGAAUCCCGUCCACCGAAUGCCUAAGGUUUCCUGAGGAAGGCUCGUCCGCUCAGGGUUAGUCAGGACCUAAGCCGAGGCCGACAGGCGUAGGCGAUGGACAACAGGUUGAUAUUCCUGUACCACCUCUUUAUCGUUUGAGCAAUGGAGGGACGCAGAAGGAUAGAAGAAGCGUGCGAUUGGUUGUGCACGUCCAAGCAGUUAGGCUGAUAAGUAGGCAAAUCCGCUUAUCGUGAAGGCUGAGCUGUGAUGGGGAAGCUCCUUAUGGAGCGAAGUCUUUGAUUCCCCGCUGCCAAGAAAAGCUUCUAGCGAGAUAAAAGGUGCCUGUACCGCAAACCGACACAGGUAGGCGAGGAGAGAAUCCUAAGGUGUGCGAGAGAACUCUGGUUAAGGAACUCGGCAAAAUGACCCCGUAACUUCGGGAGAAGGGGUGCUUUCUUAACGGAAAGCCGCAGUGAAUAGGCCCAAGCGACUGUUUAGCAAAAACACAGCUCUCUGCGAAGCCGUAAGGCGAAGUAUAGGGGGUGACACCUGCCCGGUGCUGGAAGGUUAAGGAGAGGGGUUAGCGUAAGCGAAGCUCUGAACUGAAGCCCCAGUAAACGGCGGCCGUAACUAUAACGGUCCUAAGGUAGCGAAAUUCCUUGUCGGGUAAGUUCCGACCCGCACGAAAGGUGUAACGAUUUGGGCACUGUCUCAACCAGAGACUCGGUGAAAUUAUAGUACCUGUGAAGAUGCAGGUUACCCGCGACAGGACGGAAAGACCCCGUGGAGCUUUACUGUAGCCUGAUAUUGAAUUUUGGUACAGUUUGUACAGGAUAGGCGGGAGCCUUUGAAACCGGAGCGCUAGCUUCGGUGGAGGCGCUGGUGGGAUACCGCCCUGACUGUAUUGAAAUUCUAACCUACGGGUCUUAUCGACCCGGGAGACAGUGUCAGGUGGGCAGUUUGACUGGGGCGGUCGCCUCCUAAAGUGUAACGGAGGCGCCCAAAGGUUCCCUCAGAAUGGUUGGAAAUCAUUCGUAGAGUGCAAAGGCAUAAGGGAGCUUGACUGCGA
rnacentral:rRNA from 1 species